AAAGGGUGUAGUUCGUCAGCUUUCUCCUUCAUUCCGCCAAUUUCAGCCUGGCAACUUUCUUUUUCUAACUAUUUGAUUUACUUUUACUCGCGAGAGAUAUUUUCCACGGUGGCUUUUUUAGUUGCAUCGUUUUGGAAAAAAAACAACAACAGACAACGUUAGUGAAAAGCCCCGUACUUAUAGAUUAAGAUGAACUCGACAAGACGGGGGUUCCAUCGACGCCCCCUCUCUGGUUUGUUUGAAAACCGGCAUGAGGAUGGCACUUUGAGACGGGGAGCGAAAUCCGAAUUCAGGAUGAGUGUCAGGUUAAUAUUCUCCUGCCCUCUGCCGCAACCAUAAUUCAUCCUCCAAACGCGGCAGGAAAGGAGACAUGAAAGCCUUUUCCUUCCCGCUCCUCUGUCCUCAUCAGUCGAGGCUUCGCACGCAUCCUCUCGAUUACCAUCGCUCAUCUUUUCCCUUUUGUUUCUCCCCGCGCGUCCCCAUUCAAUCCAAUUUCAUUUCCCCCUCAGUUCCCUUUACAGCUGCUUUCAUUUCAACGCCAUCUCUCAAUCUUCCGUCUUUUCAGCAGCUCUCUGACAAGCUCCGUCUCACUUCCUCCACCUGUCUGCCAUCCUUCUCCCCUUUUGUUUCAACCUCCCGUGCUUUAUCUUCCCUCUGGCUGCUCCCAGCACAGACCUUUUCCUCUUUCAUUGGCAUAUUUUUGGAGUUUCUGCGCCUUCCUCCCGUCAUGUCAAAUGCCCUCUCUGUCCCUCCUCUUCGCUCCGUUCUCUCUGCGGACCAAUUAGCUCGUCCAGCUUGACGUCUUUUCCAGCCCCUGCUCGAUUGGGCCGAGCGGUCAGUCCAAGGGGUUCAAGGACACACAGGCACACGAGGUAAAUUCAACAACGCGGCCUCGGAAUCUAUUGGAGUUUCUAAAAGUGUGUUUGAAAGUCCACAUCUCCCUCUGAGCACUUCACUGACCCACCAAAGAACCUCGUGCGCGCUCUCCGGCAAGGGACCUCAUUUAUAAUAACGUGUUUGGACUCAUCUCCCUUCGAGCUCAUCCCCGGAUCCCUCUCACAAAAACUGCUUGCUCGUUUAAUUCAAACCAAUGUAAACAAGCUGUGAGCGCCCUUCAUCAGUGCACUGUGCAGGGGAAUAAUUGCCAAGUGAAAGGGUCUGAGUUUGAGAAAGCGGCCGUAACACAGCAGAAAUUGUCGUUGGUGGGAGAAAAAAAAUUCUCAGGGCGCAUUACACAACACAGCAGGGUACCGUCACAUUUGCGUGCAGCUCGUUUCUUUUGCAAUACUGACACUGACACUGAACAACAUCUGCGUGGCUGCCUUGCAUACAGUGCUUGGCUCCCAACACGAAAGAGACAUACAAGGCUUUAAAGGAACAACCUUGAGGGAAUAAAUCCCUGUGCACGCACACAACGGUAAUUCAGAAAGAAAUAAUGGGUCUUACUUGUAAUAAUAACAGAUAAACCACCAUAAGUAGAUAUGUUGAAGGUGGUAGUAGAAAUAUUGCUGUUUUUUUACACCUUUUUAUCACAAAAAGGCACCAAAAUAAAAUGACAUUUUUAUUAGUAACUUGUCACAUUGUAGAGAAAAAGCCGCACAAAGAAAAGCACCUGAUUGACAGUUCAAGCACUGAAGAUCCGUCUGUUCGUGAGCUCGCUUUCCACAGUCGACUACCUGCUGAACACGGAUGACAGACUAUCUAGCAUCUAAAAUGUCAAAUUCAGCUCACGUUAGCGAGGAGAAGGCCGAGUGGCAAUUAGCAUUACCAGAUAAAACGAGGUGAUACAGGAAUGCUAAAUAGAUCUUGAUUCAGGGUGAACAAACAAAGCUAAAGGUGUAUUGAAGAUGUCACAUUGUCAAACCCGAGACGGGUUCGUCAGAUUCUAACUGGCAUUCUAAAUUAAAAAGGUAAUUCAAUUUAAAUUUAUUGUGAAAGCCGAACUUGACAAUGGCGCCAUUAGCACUUCGGGUUGAGGUUGGUGAGAUAUACUUUAGCACAUUAGCUAAGAAACUAACUAAUUAAGAAAGCUGUGUGAUCGGGAUCCGGAGAGAACAUUUACCCUUGUUCCAAGUAUCUUGGGCAAUUAGUACAAAUUACUACACUAGUAAAUAUGGUGUUAUAAUUUAUUUGUCCUCAAACGCUUAUGUAAAACAAAACCAACUUCAUCCUGAAGAUCUUUGAAAAUACACCACUGAUGAAUGAAUGAUAACAAUAAAAUCAUUGCCUAGAGGGGCACUUGCAGGAACAAGUUCAGAUUAAAACAUAUUUGGUGGACAAUAUAGAUCUGUUUAUCAGCAGGACGGUAAAGUAACUGCGGAGAUAAAAGAAGAGGCCAACCAGUGCAGCGACGGAGGUCAAUGACGUCUUUCUGGACUACGAUGCUGAUUAGACAGAUCAGUACAGUCUUGGUAUUACUCUUUGAAUGGGAUUUGCUGACAAUAAGAAACAUUUGCAUUGCCAACCAAAUCUUUUGAAAAUCAUAACCUUGCAUUCAGCUCCAUCCACACUGGAGUUGGACCAAAAACAUAAACAAAGCCCAAAUAAUGCUCUACCCUAACACUUUCUGACUAACAAUGGCCAAAAAUUAUUCUACAAGCCCACUGGAAAUGAGACGCUGCCGGCCCAAAACAAUCAAAAAUCAGCAAUGCUAUUCAUCCUAAUUCCUAAUCCCGGCCCCUUGCACCUCCCCUAACGUCCAAGGCUCGCACCAACACAAGACCGGAAACAUACAGUACGGAAUGAUCGCAUUUUGUGCAGAUACAGAUUGUCUGCAACAAUAACAGCUGCUAGAGUCCUGGAAAAUAUCAUCCAGAGGCCGGCCAAUUUGUAAAUUGAAAAGUCAGACUGUGAAGGAAACACCAAAGCCAAUCUCUUCCAAACGCCCUGAGUAGUGAAUGAAUCUAUAUUUAGUUUUAGACUCUUAAUUCAAGGCCCUGGUGUGAUGUCACAUCAUCAAUUUUCUCUUUGUGCUUCUCGAAGCAGACAAAGUUCCCAGAGCUAUUGUUUGUUUAUUCACUUUUCUUUGGCUUAUUUUUUAUUUUUUUGCUCUGUCAUGAUUGGAAAAAAAAAAAAAGAUGCAUGAGGAGGGUGAAGGACACUUGGGGCAAAAAAAGAGAGCUGCAUCUUUGUGAACAAACACACACACACACACACACACACACACAAAGAGGCCAUCUGCCUAAUUACUAGUGACAGGGAGAGAGCUCAGGGAAACAGCUACAGCUAUGGUGCACUAGUGGGCAAAAUGCCCUAUUUAUGCAUUUUAUACACACAAGCACACAUCCGUGUAUGUUCAUACACAUUCGCACACAUUCUCACACAUAUACUGCGCAGGAAAAAAAAAAAGCAAACGAUACAGGCAUGUGGAUGCAAACAGAAAAUGACACGGUCGGUAGUGAUAUUAUUUACAGUGGCCGCACAUGUAUGGACACAUGUGCGGCAACAGAGACAAAACAUUUGCGCUCUCGCUCUCUCUCUCUCUCUCUCUCUCUCUCUCUCUCUCUCUCGGAGAGAUGCCGAGUCCCGGGGCGAAGGGCCUCCUGAAUCCCUUAUUUUGGAUGUAUGUUUUGACAAGAUAUUCUCAAGAAGAGGCCAGUUUUUCAAUAUUCACCACAGAAAUGCAUCCUCACUGGGCGGAGUGAAAUAGAUUUCACAUACAUUUAAAAUGGUUAAACCGUAUGUGCUUUGUGAUAACCAAAUUACCCUGAUUAUUUUGUAAUCAUUUUUUUUUAUUAAAUGAUAAGAAAUAUAAAAAACAAUCAGGUUGUUUUAUAUCAACAAUUUAUUCUUUGAAUUAUCAUAAAGCAUUUGAUGCCCAUAGAUAUUGUUAUUGAUAGAUGCGAUUGCAUUUAUUAUUAUGCGUUUUGGCCAUAUCACAACUAUGUAUUUUUCAUUGUUCAUUGCUGGUGUUCACGAGUUUCAUUAAUGCGGAAGUUCAUUCAUUAUUUUAAAGGGAAGACAAUAUAAUGUGAUGUAGCGAAGAGUUAAGAUGUGGGCCCGCUGUACUGAAAUAAACUACACAAGUUGUGAAUCAGAGACGGGAGGCAGCAGUAAAGGUGAGCAGGGAUAACCUGACUUGAGCACGUCUGAGAGUGAGGUCACCAAAAAGGUUCCACAGACAGCCUGCGCAGUGACGGCAUUGUCUGGUACCACCAAACACCCCCGGACCCAGCAUGCAAACUACAGCCUAACACAGUCAACUGGACACUUAAUCUGCACAAGUAUCAGUCUGUAUGCAAGCUCCUCGUUUCUUUGACUUUGCAUUCAUGUUUCCUGUCUUGCAGCUCCACCAACCCUCCUCGAACAAUCGCUACGUUUUGGGGGAAUUUUCUUCAGUUCUCUUUCUCUAACUGAGCGGAUGCUGAUUAGUGUUGCUCUCUGUUGUAAAAAGAGACGGAGGAGGAAGAAGAGCGAACGAGAGUACAAAUGUGAGGAGACGAUGCACUCCGUACAGUGACUCAAUAAAAGUGUGAUUUG